AGAACCCCUAAGCUCAGCUCAGUGGAAGCUAAGCAAUUGGACAAAGCCAUCUAAACCCAAAGCAAUGGCUCGAUGGAGUUCACCAGGGAGGAUCUUGCUCUGAUCUAAAUAUACAGUGGAAAUCUGAUGUGAUCUAGGCUGCUGCACCUCAUCUACUAAAACCAAAUCCUGGAAAAGAUUUCUAUGAGAUGGUUUCUGUCAUUCUUCCUAAACUGGGAGCUAAGUGAUUAAUAUAGAGGAAAACUCACAGAUAAACAUAUCUCUGCAAAUGCAAAUAAGUACUAAAGUGCUGGUAACCAACAUCCCCACCCUGGUUCCUCUUAGCACUUCAGUCAAAGGCACACUUCGAACAGAAGAAUCUGAACCACAAAUUUAGCCAGUCUCUACUACCUUCAGAAAGGCUUCCAGAAGUCAUUUUCCUCCCAGACCUCCUAGAUUUCUAAUUUCUCUAUUCCUGCUAGGAGGGACACUACUACCCAAUCUAGGAGUAUCUUGGAAGAUUCAAGUGGGAAACCAUUCAGAUCUGUCUCUUCCCCUCAUCGCAUCAACAUUUUAAUCUGUCUCUACACAACGCAGGAUUCACAAGGGAAGUCUCAAAUCCCAUAGCGUUGCUUACAAGCAGCGUGACAACAAGGAUGAAGCCAGAGAGGCACCUAUGGUACAAAAUUUUAAAAGCAUGAAUUUCCCUCAACCUUAAGAAGAGAUGGAAUGUUCAUAAUGAGGAAGAAGUCUUCUGAUUUUCUAAAUAGGUAAUCACAACACAGAAGAGUGAAGAAGGACACAGGCUCUUAGCCACCAUGGCCUAAAACUGUCCCACACCUCUUCAACUCACAUCCUACUGUCCACAACCAGUCAUCAGUCAUGUGCAACGUUCACACAUAAAAGCCCUGGAAAAUGAAGGCCAGUGAUUUGCCUAGGAAAAGUACUUGAUUCAGACCCGGUGGCCCCUCUCUGCUGGGUAAGCCUUUGCUAGGCUCUCAGUAGUUCUGAAGACAUUUUGAGUUUCUAUGAAACACUUCAUCUGGCACCUGGUUUAUCUCUGCCUCUGAAAAAUACCUGCAUGACCAAGAACUAUUGUAUAAUGACACCUGGCUUCCACUAUGGCUCCAUAGGAUUCUUACCAGUUCUCGUAUCUGUGUCCAUGCCACACACCAGCAAAGGGACCCGCUAAAUUACAAAAUAGACCCUCUUUGUGGUUGACCAUGAUUCCCAUGUUAGCAUGGAUUUGUUCUGUAUGGUGACCUCUUCAGAUCACUAAUGGGGACUACAGCUAGAGUCCUCCCCAUCUACGAUUUUCAAGCUAUCAAUUUCUCAUGAAUCUGUAUCUUCAAUCCAAUAUCUCACCAACUUCGCUCUCAUCUUCAGUUGUCUCUACUCAUAAUUAUCCCUGGAUGAAAAAGGAGUAAAGUUCCCUUUUACUGCUUCUAUGUUACAUCCUGAGGUAGCUUCCUUUCAUUAUGGAAUAAAUUCUAUGAUGUGAUCCAAAA
ensembl:lncRNA LINC01661 long intergenic non-protein coding RNA 1661